rnacentral:tRNA from 1 species
GUUGUGGCUCAGUGGCAGAGCACUUGCCUCACACACGUGAGGUACUGGGUUCGAUCCUCAGCACA